UACGGAGGGUGCAAGCGUUGAUCGGAAUUACUGGGCGUAAAGCGCGUGUAGGCGGCUCGGUAAGUCGGUUGUGAAAGCCCCGAGCUCAACUCGGGAAUUGCGUCCGAAACUGCCAGACUGGAGUCCCGGAGAGGAAGGCAGAAUUCCCAAUGUAGGGGUGAAAUCCGUAGAUAUUGGGAGGAAUACCGGCUGCGAAGGCGGCCUUCUGGACGGUGACUGACGCUGAGACGCGAAAGCGUGGGGAGCAAACAGG
rnacentral:rRNA from 1 species